AUAAAAUAAUUAUGUUUUUGAUAAUUUAUUAUGAAUUUAUUUUACAUAUAAAUUUUAGUAUAUAAUUUUAAUUAUUUAGAUAAUAAUUAAUUUAAUUUAUUAGUAGUAAUUAAUAUUAAAAAUUUAAGAAAUUAAGAUUUAGUAAUAUAAAAAUUAAUAACUAAUUUUGUGCCAGCAGUUGCGGUUAAACAAAGGUUAAAUUAAAUUAUUUCAGUUUUAUAAUAAAUAAAUUUAUUAUUAAAAUAAAUAUUAAAUUAUUAAGUGAAAUUUUAAUUUAAUUAAAUUUUAUAUUAAAAUUAUGAUUUAAUAAAUUUUAAUAUAAACUAGGAUUAGAUACCCUAUUAUUAAAAAUUUAAUUUGUAAUACUAAAAUAGUAAAUAAUAAUUUAUUGAAACUUAAAUAAUAUGGCGGUAUUUUAGUUCAUUUAGAGGAAUCUGUCUAAUAAUUGAUAAUCCACGAAUAAAUUUACUUAAUUUAUAAUUUUGUAUAUCAUUGUUAAAUAAAUAUUUUUUAGUAAAAAUAAUAUUUAAAAUUUAGAAUUAAAAGUUAAAUCAGAUCAAGAUGCAGAAUAUAAUUAAGAAUAUGAUGGAUUACAAUAAAUAUAUUUAAAUGAAUAAUUUAUUGUAAUAUAAAUUUGAAGGUGGAUUUAAAUGUAAUUUUAAUUAGUUUAUUAAAAUGAUUAUAAAUUAAAAUAUGUACAUAUUGCCCGUCACUUUCAUUUAAAAGUUGAAAUAAGUCGUAACAAAGUAGAGGUACUGGAAAGUGUUUCUAGAAAGA
rnacentral:ncRNA from 1 species